UACGUAGGGGGCAAGCGUUGUCCGGAAUCAUUGGGCGUAAAGCGCGUGUAGGCGGCCCGGUAAGUCCGCUGUGAAAGUCGGGGGCUCAACCCUCGAAUGCCGGUGGAUACUGUCGGGCUAGAGUGCGGGAGAGGCGAGUGGAAUUCCUGGUGUAGCGGUGAAAUGCGCAGAUAUCAGGAGGAACACCAAUUGCGAAGGCAGCCUCGCUGGAACGUAACUGACGCGUGGAGAACGCGAAAGCGUGGGGAGCAAACAGG
rnacentral:rRNA from 1 species